rnacentral:tRNA from 1 species
GGGGCUGGGGCUCAGUGGUAGAGCGUUCACCUAGCAUGUGUGAGGUACUGGGUUCGAUUCCUGGCACCA